rnacentral:rRNA from 1 species
CAGUAGCCGCGGUAAAACGUAGGGUGCAAGCGUUAAUCGGAAUUACUGGGCGUAAAGCGUGCGCAGGCGGUUCGCUAAGACAGAUGUGAAAUCCCCGGGCUUAACCUGGGAACUGCAUUUGUGACUGGCGGGCUAGAGUAUGGCAGAGGGGGGUAGAAUUCCACGUGUAGCAGUGAAAUGCGUAGGGAUGUGGAGGAAUACCGAAGGCGAAGGCAGCCCCUUGGGAAUGUACUGACGCUCAUGUGCGAAAGCGUGGGGAGCAAACAGGAUUAGAUACCCCCGUAGUCCCUGUCUCUUAUAA